GUCCUUUCUCUGUACUCAAGCUGGCACUACUGCCUUCGUAAAGCUCUCUUUGCUUCUUCUCCAUUUCGGUAUUGAUUCUGGAACGAUCCUUAAACCCUAACCCUAAUUUCACCUCACUGUAAAAUAAAGGCGUCGUCAGCUCACCGCCACGGCCACCGGCAGAAACAUACACAGUGUCCUGGACUUGCACCAUUAAAUUGUUUCAUGCUUUAACGUAUUGCCGCAAAAGAAAAGGCAAAAAAAUGGUUCCUUUCUUGCCUUUGCUUUCACUUAUUAUUCUCUCUCUCGCAAUCUCAAUCUCAAUAUCAAUCCCAGGUGUCAAUCCACGGGAGCAGUAUUCAUCAGCCUACGAUGUUCUUGAGGAUCAUGGGCUUCCCAUGGGCCUACUCCCUAAGGGCGUUAAGGAUUUCAGAAUCGAAGAUACGGGCCAUUUCGUGGUCCACUUGGAUCAGGCUUGCAACGCCAAGUUCGAGAGCGAAUUGCAUUACGAUAGGAAUGUUUCUGGGACUCUGAGCUACGGCCAGAUCGGGGCUUUGUCUGGAAUUUCUGCUCAAGAGUUGUUUUUGUGGUUUCCGGUCAAGGGAAUUCGGGUAGAUGUGCCCAGUUCGGGCCUUAUUUAUUUCGAUGUUGGUGUAGUGUCUAAGCAGUUCUCGCUUUCCUUGUUUGAGACACCGAGGGAUUGUUUGGCGGUUCAAGAUGGGCAAACGGAGGCUAUUGAGACAGGAAGGCUCAUUGCCGAGGCUGUGUCCAAGAGCCAACUUGGGGGGUUAAGAUAUCAACUCGAUCAAGAGAAUUUUGGGAGGGGUGUUCUGUAGAAUGCGUUGAGAAAGUUUCUUAAGACGGGUCAUAGUUCAAUCAACUCAUGGUUUCUCAUUUUCACCUUGUAAAUAUCAUCAGAGAUUCUGCUUUAACGGGUCCAAUGCUUCCAGUCAGUGUGUUUGCUUGUGUUCUUUUUUCCCUAUAAAGUGCAGAAUAUGCAACUUAGCAGAGCCGGUUCUUGUCUGUGCAUGGAUGCCCGAUGGACCUCUUUGAGAGGGAAACUUAAUGAAGUAGCAGCAUGAUCAUCAAAGGCUUCCUGCCUGCAGAACUUAAAGUUUUGGCUGAGGUGAUUUCAGGCUAUCUUACUAUAUUGUGCAUCAUUGGAGCCAUUUGAGAAAUUUUUGGAGGUUCAAUUUCAGGUGCAACUUUUGAACUCUGUCCUUACUGAAUCAUGAUUUUUUUUUUUUUAUUACAGUCCUCUAUUUUUCUUUUAUUUUCUUUUUCUUUUUCUUUUUUCCUCUUUAGUAAGAAAAAGGCUUUUUUAUUCUUUAAAAAUGUUUGUCCACUGAGUCUUGAUUACACAAAUAAGAUAUCUCCAUCCCUCUCUAAUGCUCAAGCCAUCCACAUGAUUUGCCCUACUAGUUAUUUCUAUUCAGUUAUUAGCUUUAGGGUUUCAUCACUGGAUGUUAAAGCUCCCGGGCAUCACAGGCUUCAACCACUUAACUGCCAGGCUUAUGGCCAACUUUUCUUGACUUGAAAAUUGCCUAUCUGCUGUGUUGAAAAUGAUAGAUAAACCUCUGAUUUCAAGCAGUCAGAUUUAGGGUCUCAACUCUCAUGUGGCUUGGUCCCAACAGUUAUUUGGCUGCAUUAGAACACCUAGUGAGCAUAAGCUGGAUAGACUUAUGCGUUGGCCCUUGGUUUUGCUACAUUGGAGUGACAGUCUUCCUCUGUUGGUUCAUGCCCAAUAUCUCUGAGCGCAAAAUAAUGUUUCAAGUGAAUCUGCUGCCCUUUGGAUAUGUGGCAUGACAUCAAUAAGUAAGAAAUGGUUAAUAUAACUCAGACUGCUUAUAUUUGUCUGCUUACCUUUUUUUGUUGGAGAUUUUAAUCAUAUGAACUUUAUAUGAAACAAUUCUAUGAAGGAGAAAAAAAAAUGCAGUUGAGCAAAACAAAAUUUGUAUUUAAGCCUCAUGGAUGAAGAUCUUGUUCUUA